UGUUAGGUAACCAUCUCAAACACAGCCUG
rnacentral:sRNA from 1 species